rnacentral:lncRNA from 1 species
ACCAAUAUUUAUUUUAUAUUUCUUACGACAUUUGUAUCGUGUCAACAUGAGAUACAACAUACAUGUAUAUGUGUCUAGUUUACCGUGAAGGAUUUUCUAAUGCUUUACUUGCAUCCCCCAUCUAUUUUCCAUUGCCGCUCCCUUUUCCACCGUCAUGAAAGUUUACGACGUUUCCACCUCCGCCACAUUUAUCACCACCAGAAAAAUUUAUGACGAUUCCACAACCACCUCUGUUUGUAUUUUCAUCACCUCCUUUGUUUGCGUUUUCAUAGGGGUCGUGCCAGACUGCACCUCCACCUGGCCAGAUUGCAUGGCCAUCAACCCUGGUGUUUGUCUUUGAUUCUUCUGUUUCAUCAACUACAAAUAAACAAGUUUUUUUUUUAUUAAAUAUGAAAGACGAAAGAAAUUGUGCAUAUAUGAAAACUAAUUAUAUAUAUACAUUGUUUCCCAUAUUCAUAAGGCUCGGUUGUCGUGACAUAGAUAAGAAGCAGUGCCCAAAAGUACCAGGCAAUAAACAACUUGAUUUUCAUUCUUAUUACAAGUAGACAAAAUUGUAUGAAACAUGAAUACAAUGGGAAGCUAGAUAUUUA